rnacentral:rRNA from 1 species
UACGGAAGGCAGCAGUGGGGAAUAUUGCACAAUGGGCGAAAGCCUGAUGCAGCUAUGCCGCGUGUAUGAAGAAGGCCUUAGGGUUGUAAAGUACUUUCAUCGGGGAGGAAAAAACAAAACUAAUAAUUUUAUUUCUUGACGUUACCCGAAAAAGAAGCACCGGCUAACUCCGUGCCAGCAGCCGCGGUAAUACGGAGGGUGCUAGCGUUAAUCAGAAUUACUGGGCGUAAAGAGCACGUAGGUGGUUUUUUAAGUCAGAUGUGAAAUCCCUGGGCUUAACCUAGGAACUGCAUUUUGAAACUGAAAUACUAGAGUAUCGUAGAGGGAGGUAGAAUUCUAGGUGUAGCGGUGAAAUGCGUAGAUAUCUGGAGGAAUACCUGUGGCGAAAGCGGCCUCCUAAACGAAUACUGACACUGAGGUGCGAAAGCGU